GGGACCAUAGCUCAGUGGUAGAGCGCGCGACUCAUAAUCGCUUGGUCGCAGGUUCGAUCCCUGCUGGUCCCACCA
rnacentral:tRNA from 1 species